rnacentral:rRNA from 1 species
CCUACGUGGUGCUGCAGUGGGGAAUAUUGGACAAUGGGCGAAAGCCUGAUCCAGCCAUGCCGCGUGUGUGAAGAAGGCCUUCGGGUUGUAAAGCACUUUCAGUGGGGAAGAAAGCCUUGGGGCUAAUACCCUCGAGGAAGGACAUCACCCACAGAAGAAGCACCGGCUAACUCCGUGCCAGCAGCCGCGGUAAUACGGAGGGUGCGAGCGUUAAUCGGAAUUACUGGGCGUAAAGCGCGCGUAGGCGGUCUGAUAAGCCGGUUGUGAAAGCCCCGGGCUCAACCUGGGAACGGCAUCCGGAACGGUCAGGCUAGAGUGCAGGAGAGGAAGGUAGAAUUCCCGGUGUAGCGGUGAAAUGCGUAGAGAUCGGGAGGAAUACCAGUGGCGAAGGCGGCCUUCUGGACUGACACUGACGCUGAGGUGCGAAAGCGUGGGUAGCAAACAGGAUUAGAUACCCUAGUAGUC